UACGAAGGGGGCAAGCGUUGUCCGGAAUCAUUGGGCGUAAAGCGCGUGUAGGCGGCCCGAUAAGUCCGCUGUGAAAGUCCAGGGCUCAACCCUGGGAUGCCGGUGGAUACUGUCGGGCUCGAGUCCGGAAGAGGCGAGUGGAAUUCCUGGUGUAGCGGUGAAAUGCGCAGAUAUCAGGAGGAACACCAAUGGCGAAGGCAGCUCGCUGGGACGUGACUGACGCUGAGACGCGAAAGCGUGGGGAGCAAACAGG
rnacentral:rRNA from 1 species